GUUAUUAGAUUUUUGUUCAUCAUAGGUCAUGCAUGAACUUUAGGGCAUUGCUCUAGGGCUCAUGCAACCGUGUCACGUGGUCGACCCGGAUGAUGAGUUCGGGGCGUGACAUAUGUUGAAGUGAAAUACAAACAAACAAAAUAUGUAAAAUUUCUUGAGCUUAUGAAAAGUGACAUAGAAGAAGAUUUGAUCAGGAAAACCAUGCAUUCAGUUGGAAAAAACGAAGGGACAACAACUUGUGGAAACUUUGUGAGAGGUAAAAGAACUCAUGAGGUUGAUAUUUAGUCAAAGGAACGUGGGGUUGCAAUCAAUUUGUCUUUGUAAGUUUUACUAAGGGGCAUUUGGUAACCCCAACAAGAUCACCACGGUGAUCUAUGAUCCCGGUGAUCCGAAUGCUGGGGUGAUUUGAUCCCCAGUGAUCUAAGAUUAAUGUAUUUGGUAGGCCAUGGUCCAGUGAUUAAAAAAUCUCCGAGUAUCCAUGAGUAACUUGUUUGGUAUGGUAUGGAGAUCCAAGAUCACCAACCACAUAAUACCACAAAUACCCCUGAUAUAUCUUAGAUGG
rnacentral:lncRNA from 1 species